rnacentral:rRNA from 1 species
GACGAACCGUCCAAACGUUAUUCGGAAUCACUGGGCUUACAGAGUUCGUAGGCGGUCUGGAAAGUUGGGUGUGAAAUCCCUCGGCUCAACCGAGGAACUGCGCUUGAAACUACCAGACUCGAGGGAGAUAGAGGAAAGCGGAACUGAUGGUGGAGCGGUGAAAUGCGUUGAUAUCAUCAGGAACACCGGUGGCGAAGGCGGCUUUC